GACGAACGCUGGCGGCGUGCUUAACACAUGCAAGUCGAACGGAGUGGCGAACGGGUGAGUAACACGUGGGUGAUCUGCCUUGCACUUCGGGAUAAGCUUGGGAAACUGGGUCUAAUACCGGAUAGUGCAAGAUGAGCUCGAGGCCUAUCAGCUUUAUGGUGGGGUAAUGGCCUACCAAGGCGUCGACGGGUAGCCGGCCUGAGAGGGUGGACGGCAACAGUGUGACUGAGAUACGGCCCAUACUCCUGCGGUAGGCAGCAGUGGGGAAUAUUGCGCAAUGGGCGGAAGUCUCAUGCAGCGACGCCGCGUGGGGGAUGAAGGCCUUCGGGUUGUAGCUUCCUUUCGACAGGAACGCGGUAACGGGAUAUGAAGCACCGGCUAUGUACGUGCCAGCCGCAGCGGUAAUUC
rnacentral:rRNA from 1 species